rnacentral:rRNA from 1 species
AGUCGAGCGGUAACACAGAGGAGCUUGCUCCUUGGGUGACGAGCGGCGGACGGGUGAGUAAUGCCUGGGGAUCUGCCCGAUAGAGGGGGAUAACUACGGGAAACUGUAGCUAAUACCGCAUAAUGUCUACGGACCAAAGUGGGGGCUCUUCGGACCUCAUGCUAUCGGAUGAACCCAGGUGGGAUUAGCUAGUUGGUGAGGUAAUGGCUCACCAAGGCGACGAUCUCUAACUGGUUUGAGAGAAUGACCAGUCACACUGGAACUGAGACACGGUCCAGACUCCUACGGGAGGCAGCAGUGGGGAAUAUUGCACAAUGGGCGCAAGCCUGAUGCAGCCAUGCCGCGUGUGUGAAGAAGGCCUUCGGGUUGUAAAGCACUUUCAGCGGGGAGGAAGGGUCACUAGUUAAUACCUAGUGGCAUUGACGUUACUCGCAGAAGAAGCACCGGCUAACUCCGUGCCAGCAGCCGCGGUAAUACGGAGGGUGCAAGCGUUAAUCGGAAUUACUGGGCGUAAAGCGCACGCAGGCGGUUUGUUAAGUCAGAUGUGAAAUCCCCGAGCUCAACUUGGGAACUGCAUUUGAAACUGGCAAGCUAGAGUCUUGUAGAGGGGGGUAGAAUUCCAGGUGUAGCGGUGAAAUGCGUAGAGAUCUGGAGGAAUACCGGUGGCGAAGGCGGCCCCCUGGACAAAGACUGACGCUCAGGUGCGAAAGCGUGGGGAGCAAACAGGAUUAGAUACC